rnacentral:rRNA from 1 species
UAUUCUUUAUAGCUUGCUAUGAUAAGAAUUAGUGGCAGACGGGUGAGUAAUGCAUAGGAAUCUACCUAGUAGUAUGGGAUAGCCACUAGAAAUGGUGGGUAAUACUGUAUAAUCCCUGCGGGGGAAAGAUUUAUCGCUAUUAGAUGAGCCUAUGUUAGAUUAGCUAGUUGGUAGGGUAAAGGCCUACCAAGGCAGUGAUCUAUAGCUGGUCUGAGAGGAUGAUCAGCCACACUGGAACUGAGAUACGGUCCAGACUCCUACGGGAGGCAGCAGUGGGGAAUAUUGGACAAUGGGCGCAAGCCUAAUCCAGCUAUGCCGCGUGAGUGAGGAAGGCC